UACGGAGGGGGCUAGCGUUGUUCGGAAUUACUGGGCGUAAGGCGCACGUAGGCGGCUUUGUAAGUUAGAGGUGAAAGCCCAGGGCUUAACCCUGGAAUUGCCUUUAAGACUGCAUCGCUAGAAUCGUGGAGAGGUGAGUGGAAUUCCGAGUGUAGAGGUGAAAUUCGUAGAUAUUCGGAAGAACACCAGUGGCGAAGGCGACUCACUGGACACGUAUUGACGCUGAGGCGCGAAAGCGUGGGGAGCAAACAGG
rnacentral:rRNA from 1 species